UACGGAGGGUGCAAGCGUUAUCCGGAUUCACUGGGUUUAAAGGGUGCGUGGGCGGACAGGUAAGUCAGUGGUGAAAUCUCUGGGCUUAACCCAGAAACUGCCGUUGAUACUAUUUGUCUUGAAUAUCCUGGAGGUAGGCGGAAUAUGUCAUGUAGCGGUGAAAUGCUUAGAUAUGACAUAGAACACCGAUAGCGAAGGCAGCUUACUACAGGAUGAUUGACGCUGAGGCACGAAAGCGUGGGGAGCAAACAGG
rnacentral:rRNA from 1 species